UCCAAGUCUUUGCCGUAGUAGGGAAAAGGAAAGCUUAGCCACAGUAGUGACCAGCUUUUGAUGACGGCCAGUAGUCCAGUACAGAGUUUGCUGAGUGCGUUGCUCCUGACGAGCGUCACGUAUGGGCAGGAGCUGCAUCAAGAGCACAGUGAGGCACCCACAUCUCCAAAGCACACCUGAUCAGAGUUCCCCUGUGCCAAUAACGCUGCCAACAUUGACAAGAAUUUAAUUCAGAAAGAAAUUUAAAUUAGAAUGAAUAAUUUUUUAGCAACAAUUUCAAAUUGUGCAAUGUCUCAAGCCAAAACAAUUUCAGAGUGAUGUUCAUCAGCCUCAGCAAGAUCAGCACUGUAAUGGGAACAUUGCCUUCAGGUAACCUUGACUUUGUGAACAGAGAGAGCACCAACCUUUACCCAUGCAAGUCUGGUAGACACCACCUCUGUUUUGUCUUCUUUAAGCAAGUACAUGAAG